GGUGGUGGUGGGCGUGGGG
rnacentral:miRNA from 1 species